AUGGAGCAACGCCGUGUGAGUGAAGAAGGUCUUCGGAUCGUAAAGCUCUGUUGUUGGUGAAGAAGGAUAGAGGCAGUAACUGGUCUUUAUUUGACGGUAAUCAACCAGAAAGUCACGGCUAACUACGUGCCAGCAGCCGCGGUAAUACGUAGGGUGGCAGUCGUUGUCGGAGUUAUUGGGCGUAAAGAGAGCGACGAGGCGGUAAGUGUGGUAAGGCUAGGAUCGACGAAAGGGGCCGUAAGGGCUCAACCGUGGAACUGCAUCGGAAACUGUCAUUCUUGAGUGCAGAAGAGGAGAGUGGAACUCCAUGUGUAGCGGUGAAAUGCGUAGAUAUAUGGAGGAACACCGGUGGCGAAAGCGGCUCUCUGGUCUGUAACUGACGCUGAGGUGCGAAAGCGUGGGUAGCAAACNGGAUUAGAUACCCUGGUAGUCCCAGCUGUAAAACGNUGGACGCUAGGUGUUGGCAGUAAUGGUCGGUGCCGCAGCAAACGCGAUAACGCGUCCCGCUGGGGANAAGUGGGUAUGAGUACUGC
rnacentral:rRNA from 1 species